rnacentral:tRNA from 1 species
ACUUAUUUAGUAUAACAGUAUAUUUGACUUCCAAUCAGAAGGACUAGACCCAGUCUAGAAUAAGUA